rnacentral:rRNA from 1 species
AGGAUGAACGCUAGCUACAGGCUUAACACAUGCAAGUCGAGGGGCAGCAUUCUUCUAGCAAUAGAAGAGAUGGCGACCGGCGCACGGGUGAGUAACACGUAUCCAACCUACCGAUAACUCCGGAAUAGCCUUUCGAAAGAAAGAUUAAUACCGGAUAGUAUACGAAUAUCGCAUGAUAUUUUUAUUAAAGAAUUUCGGUUAUCGAUGGGGAUGCGUUCCAUUAGUUUGUUGGCGGGGUAACGGCCCACCAAGACUACGAUGGAUAGGGGUUCUGAGAGGAAGGUCCCCCACAUUGGAACUGAGACACGGUCCAAACUCCUACGGGAGGCAGCAGUGAGGAAUAUUGGUCAAUGGGCGCAGGCCUGAACCAGCCAAGUAGCGUGAAGGAUGAAGGCUCUAUGGGUCGUAAACUUCUUUUAUAUGGGAAUAAAGUUUUCCACGUGUGGAAUUUUGUAUGUACCAUAUGAAUAAAGAUCGGCUAACUCCGUGCCAGCAGCCGCGGUAAUACGGAGGAUCCGAGCGUUAUCCG